rnacentral:rRNA from 1 species
GAUGAACGCUGGCGGCGUGCUUAACACAUGCAAGUCGAACGAUGAAGCCCAGCUUGCUGGGUGGAUUAGUGGCGAACGGGUGAGUAACACGUGAGUAACCUGCCCUUGACUCUGGGAUAAGCCUGGGAAACUGGGUCUAAUACUGGAUAUGACUUCUCAUCGCAUGGUGGGGGGUGGAAAGAUUUAUUGGUCUUGGAUGGACUCGCGGCCUAUCAGCUUGUUGGUGAGGUAAUGGCUCACCAAGGCGACGACGGGUAGCCGGCCUGAGAGGGUGACCGGCCACACUGGGCCUGAGACACGGCCCAGACUCCUACGGGAGGCAGCAGUGGGGAAUAUUGCACAAUGGGCGCAAGCCUGAUGCAGCGACGCCGCGUGAGGGAUGACGGCCUUCGGGUUGUAAACCUCUUUCAGUAGGGAAGAAGCGAGAGUGACGGUACCUGCAGAAGAAGCGCCGGCUAACUACGUG